GGACCCGCACAAGCAGUGGAGCAUGUGGUUUAAUUCGAAGAUACGCGCAGAACCUUACCUACCCUUGACAUGUACGGAACUUGCCAGAGAUGGCUUGGUGCUCGAAAGAGAGCCGUAACACAGGUGCUGCAUGGCUGUCGUCAGCUCGUGUCGUGAGAUGUUGGGUUAAGUCCCGCAACGAGCGCAACCCUUGUCAUUAGUUGCUACAUUUAGUUGGGCACUCUAAUGAGACUGCCGGUGACAAACCGGAGGAAGGUGGGGAUGACGUCAAGUCCUCAUGGCCCUUAUGGGUAGGGCUACACACGUCAUACAAUGGCAGUGACAGAGGGACGCUACCAGGUGACUGGAUGCAAAUCUCAAAAAGCUGUCUCAGUUCGGAUUGUUGUCUGCAACUCGACAACAUG
rnacentral:rRNA from 1 species